rnacentral:rRNA from 1 species
AUGGAUACUGACCAAAGCUUCUUGGACACCCUUGGUUUUGGUUACACGCAAACACAACUAGAAAGUCCAAUUGGAGAGCAGGCAACUCCAUCAACUCAGCAUCGUUCUGCAAUAACAGAGAAAGGAAAAUCCAACAAAGGCAAAAAUUGGUCUAGUGAUGAGGACAAGGUUCUCAUAGCAGCAUGGGCAAAUACAAGUUUGGAUAUUGUUGGGACAGAUCAAAACCGGGAUGCUUAUUGGGAUAGAAUUUCAGAGUACUACAACACACACAAGGAAUCAUCAUGGACGGAGCGUAAUGCUAAUGCAAUCAAUUGCCGUUACACAACGAUUAAUAAAGAGACCUCUAAAUUUUGUGGUUGCCUUCAGCAGAUUUUAAAUAGGGAAGAAAGUGGAAGGACUAUACAAGAAAAGACAUGGAUUACAUCACUCGUUUCUAAACUUUUGCCAGACAUGGUCAAUUAG